rfam:Salmo salar isolate Sally breed double haploid chromosome ssa15, whole genome shotgun sequence.
UCCCGUGUGGCUCAGUUGGUAGAGCAUGGUGUUUGCAACACCAGGGUUGUGGGUUCGAUUCCCACGAGGGAC